rnacentral:lncRNA from 1 species
UUUUUCAGCAAAGAAUUAAAUUAAAUAAAAGGGAAUACUUCAGGGGUAUCCCAACCCGUGUACAGAAAAAGGAAAGAAACCUAUCUAUAUCUAGAACAAAACCUCUUCCCUUCCAAAAAAUAAUAAAACUAGGUACCAUAAACAGUUUGCACCAAGAACAGGUACCAUAACCUAGGUGACACAAGACAAGGCUUCAUUAGAGCUAAGCCACCACCAUCAACGAAACAACUAAUUCUAUCAUUCCUCCAACACGUCACAAACCUUGCAUCCCCAUGGAUCAU